rnacentral:rRNA from 1 species
AUUGAACGCUGGCGGCAGGCCUAACACAUGCAGGUCGAGCGGAUGAAGGGAGCUUGCUCCUGGAUUCAGCGGCGGACGGGUGAGUAAUGCCUAGGAAUCUGCCUGGUAGUGGGGGAUAACGUCCGGAAACGGGCGCUAAUACCGCAUACGUCCUGAGGGAGAAAGUGGGGGAUCUUCGGACCUCACGCUAUCAGAUGAGCCUAGGUCGGAUUAGCUAGUUGGUGGGGUAAAGGCCUACCAAGGCGACGAUCCGUAACUGGUCUGAGAGGAUGAUCAGUCACACUGGAACUGAGACACGGUCCAGACUCCUACGGGAGGCAGCAGUGGGGAAUAUUGGACAAUGGGCGAAAGCCUGAUCCAGCCAUGCCGCGUGUGUGAAGAAGGUCUUCGGAUUGUAAAGCACUUUAAGUUGGGAGGAAGGGCAGUAAGUUAAUACCUUGCUGUUUGGACGUUACCAACAGAAUAAGCACCGGCUAACUUCGU